rnacentral:lncRNA from 1 species
AACCAAAAGUACAAUCACAUCAAAACCCAUAUCAAGUUUAAACUUUCAAGUCGUUUAAAUAAUAUCUGAACAUCGUAUAACCGAUAUGCCAUUGUUGACCUUCCUACACUUAUCUUAGGUCAAACCUCUCUUAUCAUGAUCAAAGACAAUUUAUACUUUCCUUCCACACUCAUCGAAAACCAAAUUCGAUGCAUACAUUUUGUCACAAUACCCAGUGAUCUUACAUAUGCUCAGAUUCCAACUGGUCACAUUUUCCAAUAAUCUUAAACCUCAAACUUUAAUGCCACUAAGGCCACAGUCCCUAGUGGUCUUAAACCUUAGAUUAUAAUAUCAUUCUUGUUACAAUCUCAAGUGAUUAUAAACCAAAUCUCUGAUAAUUUUUCUAUCAUAAUUCUCCACUGAUACUCACCUGAACAUAAACCCUAGGAUACCUCAACCUUAAGCUCUGAUACCACUCUGUCACGCUCCGAACCCAGCACCCGGGUCCGGUACGCGACCGGCCGCAUGAGCCCUAGAGCAGUGCCCUAAAGAUCAUGCAAGGCCUAUGAUUAACAAAAAUUCCAAUAAAUCCACAACUAAUUUAGAAAUUCAAAUAGACAAAUCCGACAUGUCAAAAUAAAUAAAUUAGUUCAUUUACGAGCUCUUCAAAUGUUCAUCGACAUCAAAGAAGGAUAAACAACUGACUAACUAAUGACUCUGGUGCUCGCACUCUGCGCCCAUCCCAUCCAAAACUAUGCAUCCUGCAACUCUGGUAAAGAAAAAGAAGAAAAGGGAGUGAGCUUUACAGCCCAGUAAGAAUCCCUACACAUCCAUACCAACACAAUAAUAAUAUGAAUUUGAAAGCCA